UGAGUCACAUAGUAAGACUUCCGUCUUCGUUAGCCGUUGCUUAAAAAUUGCGGUUUUCAGUAGUUCAGAUCGUUUCAUAUGCUUGUAGCUUAUGUAGUUAUUGUAGUUUUGACAUUUGAGACUUCUGUAUUGAUUAUUCUAAAUAAAAUCCACAGGUGUGCGGUAAAGUAGACGUUUAAACUGUUUCCUUCAACUAAACAAAGAUGGCGACCAUAACAUCACAAAAUAGAAGUAUUGAUGGAGCCAUAACGGGGCCAACUUUUAUUUCAACUAAUUUGUUAAAUGUUAACCUUAAGUAAUUUAAAGUGGGUCUCAUCUCUCUCACAUCUCUCAUCUUACAUCCUUUCCUCGUCCCUUUCGUUCUUUUCAGAGGGUUCACAAAGGUUGAAUUUUGCCACUUCUCCAACAACGUGGAAAAAAGUGUUCUUGCUGCUUUUUAAAAGAAACUGUAGCUAGGUUCAAAUCAGAAUAUAUAGAUGACAGUCAAAAAGGAGAGCCAGUUGGAGUACCAGUGAGAGUGAAGUGCUGAGGAGUCAUCACAGUAGUGCUCAUUCUUGAGCCAAAUGAAAGAGAUUCAGAUUCACCCGCUCCUUCAGCCUUGAGGAGCUGCACAGCCUGAUCGUUCUACUAAGGGAGCUGGUGGUGGAUCCUGACUCCAGCAUCGCCAAACAGGUAAAGAGGAUGUUCAGUAAAGGAAAUGCACACUUUUUUUAUUUGUCUUACAGCUUUAUUUGAUAUUUAAGUAGACCUCAUCACAUUGUGAAUAACAUUCCUCAUUUUUCUCACAAUGACAAAUGUUUUUUCUGGAUGUCAACUGAUCUUAGACCCAAGAACAAAAGAUUUUAAGAAAACAAACACAGAAAUCAGUCUGUUAAACAUACACUAAGUGCUGUGAAAUGAAAUGUAUCUGUGUGUGUAGCUAAUUGUUGGUAACUUUUUUUUUUUGGACAAUGGCUCUAUUCCCUGGUGAGCAUUGUGAGCCAUUCGGGCUCUACAGCUCACUCUGGUAAGUGUUUGGUUGGCUCACGUACUACGACACACAAAUCAGCAAGACCACUGGUGCAUCGGUCUGUCACCAGAGAAGAAGAACAUGCGUACAUGCUGUUCUACGAAAAGCAACAAUAGACAAGUCUCAUGGUUGGAGCACAGAGAAGAAGAAGAAGAAAGGGCCAGCCUCGUGCCUUUAAACAACUUUUUAUUUUUUAUUUUUGUUGCUGUUAAGAAAAUAUUUUUUAAAACACUGACACACUCAAAUCAAGAAGUAGAAAUGUACUUUAUGCAUUAAAUGACUUAUACACCAAUCUCAUUUAUGUGACUUAUAUAUAACAAGUACUUAUAUACUUUAUUUAAGUAAAAGUAGAAAUACCAACCUUUAAAAACACUGCAUUACCAGUAAAAGUCCAGCACACAAAAUUUUACUUAGAUAAAAGUUCAGAAGUAAUAACAGCAAAAUGAACUUAAGUAUUAAAAGUAAAAGUUUUAUAGUAUUGGAUAUAUUGUAUUAUUGGCGCAUUAACGUAUAAGCAGCAUUUUUAUGUUUCAGCUGGUUGAGCUGGAGUACUUUUUUAACUGCUUUAUACAGUUUUUUUUUUAAUCUAUAACACUUCAGACUAUACAGUAUAUUAUUCAUGAACCUAUUUAAUCUGCAAAGUAAACUGUAGCUGUCAAAUGAGGUGGAAUAAGAAGUACAAUAUUUCCCUCUGAAAUGUUGUGGAGUAGAAGAACAGUUACAUAAAAUGAAAGUACCCUUUAAAUUGUACUUCAGAAAUAGUUACGUUACUUGAGGAAAUGUUGUGUUCUGAAAAUGGCAGAAUAAAUGUGAUAAUCAUCCUUCCUACUAGGACUGGCGGUACUAUUGUUGUGCUUUAUGUUGGUAUGAAUCCAUAUUUGAAGUUCUAUGACUUGAGGUACUAUUGCAGUAUUUUGUUGAAUUCUUGUGUGCAAAUCUUGUCAGUUUGAUUGUUUUUCCUGUUCAAAAUGCCACGUCAAUGUCCCUCAGGAUUAUAUAAAAGUUAUUUUUGAAUAAGUUAUUUCUUGUUGUUGUUGUAAGUACAAUUGUAUUUAUUAUUACAUGUACUUAUUUAACAUACUUAUUAUCUUCUUUAUGAAAUUCAAGUUCAAUUGAAAAGCAGUUGUAGGAGAGUGAUGGGUGUGGGUGGGGCUCCAACCUAAAGCUUGUACUGUGGUUUUACUGUAUGUUUUGUUGUUUUCAUUGUUUUAUGUUGUGAAUACAAUAUUUUUCACCUGAAAACUCUUCUGUGAACAACUCAACGAUUGAGCCCCUUGACCCUUUUAGCACUUUGUUGAUGCACUUCUUUCUUGUUGUUUUUGCUAUUUCUUAUACACUUGUCUAGUUCCAGUUGUUUCUUACUUUAAUAAUUAUAUUUGAACAAAUAAAACAAAACCUUCUGUCAA